rnacentral:rRNA from 1 species
CAGUCGCCGCGGUAAUACGUAGGUGGCAAGCGUUGUCCGGAAUUAUCGGGCGUAAAGCGCGCGCAGGUGGUUUAAUAAGUCUGAUGUGAAAGCCCACGGCUCAACCGUGGAGGGUCAUUGGAAACUGUUAAACUUGAGUGCAGGAGAGAAAAGUGGAAUUCCUAGUGUAGCGGUGAAAUGCGUAGAGAUUAGGAGGAACACCAGUGGCGAAGGCGGCUUUUUGGCCUGUAACUGACACUGAGGCGCGAAAGCGUGGGGAGCAAACAGGAUUAGAUACCCCUGUAGUCCCUGUCUCUUAUAA